UACGGAGGAUGCGAGCGUUAUCCGGAUUUAUUGGGUUUAAAGGGUGCGCAGGCGGCGUGUCAAGUCAGCGGUAAAAUGUCGGGGCUCAACCCCGGCCGGCCGUUGAAACUGGCGUGCUCGAGUUGGAGAGAAGUAUGCGGAAUUCGUGGUGUAGCGGUGAAAUGCAUAGAUAUCACGAAGAACCUCGAUUGCGAAGGCAGCAUACCGGCUCCACACUGACGCUGAGGCACGAAAGCGUGGGUAUCGAACAGG
rnacentral:rRNA from 1 species